UCGUUCUUUUUCCAGAGGGCUGUGCCGGGAGUGGACGGUUUUCUGCUGCUUUGGUGUUUUCUGAAUUAAAGCAGUUGUUUUCACCUGGAAAACAAAAUGAGUGACCAUCUUGCAACUAGAUCCAAAUCCAAAGGAAAACUGAAGGAACUGGAGUCUGUUGAAUCCGCUGUUCCUCUGAAUAUGACUGCUUCAGCAAUUGAGCCUUCAAAAUCUGAUGAUGAACCUAAACUGGACGAACCAGCAAAUAAGAACGAGGAUGAUUCAUUAAGGAUGGAGAAGAGAAAGGAGCAACUGCAUUCCCAGGUGAAAUAGAACUGCAGAAUUGAACCAAAGAUAAACUGAAGACAAAUAUGCUGUCCUUCUGUCAAGAAAUUCAGUUCUUAAAAGACUCAGUAAAAUUUGGUUGCUUUUUGACUUGA